rnacentral:lncRNA from 1 species
GCUCAUCAGUUUUCCAAAAAAAAAUGAAUGAUGUAAUGCUUUACUAUCAUGUAAAAUGACCAGUAAUUAACCAAAAAUGUAAAAUACAAAGAAAUAUAAAUUUUAUCAGAAGAUUAUAUGCUAAAGUUAAGUUACCUUCAUCAUGGACAAAGGAUGUGAAUGGCAGGUGUGUACAGCUUUAGCCAAAGUCUCAUCCAGAGAAGUCCUACUUGAAAACAUUGAACACUGUGAUAGUGAGGAAUGAUAACGAUGAACACCAGAAUCUAAUAUAUGAACACUAAACACUGAACACUGUGAUGAUGAGGAGAAGUCAAUUCUCAUCCAAAGGAGAAUUGACUCAGGAUGAGAAUUGACUCCUUCGGAUGCAUUCCAAAUGUUUAUUUCAAUCUUUAGUUAGGCCUUUCACCGUUUCAAGGAUAUACUUCAAUAUAUAGAUUUCAAUAAUUCAACUAUUAAAAUUUAAUUAAAAAACCAACAGACCCGAACCUUCAAAAUCUCAGCGAGAAAUUAUAAACAAAUCAAAAUACUAAAUCAAAAAAGAUGAAUCAUAAUCCAAAUUGAGGAUAAUAACAUACAGAUCUUUCAAAAGUAAACAAAUAAAUUCCGAGAUUCGAAAGAGUGGGACCUUCCAAGAACGGCCUUUAAUGAUGAUGUGGCCACCACUAGAGAAUUGCAUGAAGAUAUCUGAAAACACCCCACUGCGACAAAUCUCCCGUCCUCCAUUUCUCUCCCCCUCUCUCAAUAAAAACCCCCACAUUUUCCCAAAAAUCAGGGUCACCAAAUUGGAUUAAGCAAGCAUGCAUAUACCUGAGGGUCGUGAACUUGGUCGAUGAUGUAGGGAGAGGUGAGGUGGAAGACGCCAGCACAACCGUUGAUAGCGACGGCGAUUGAAUCAUAAUGGAGGAGAUCGAUCUGGAAGAGAUGAAAAAAGUACCAAACCAACAUGAACAAAUCCUUAUAUCAAAACAGCACCAAACCUUUAACAAUUCCUGAGAAAAAACAAAAUACUCAUUAAAUUAAAUCAACACUCCUCCCUAUAGCAUGCAAAAAAAAAAAAAAAAAAACUCACCCAAAUAAUUUUCUACCAAAUAUAUAAACACAAUAAAAAAUAAAAAACAACAAAUCUUUGAGAAAGAUUACCGAAAACCAAAAACCCAAAAAUUUAGUCACCCAUCAAAAUAGAUAUGCAUUCAUUAAAAAAAAAAAACUAAAAUUUCUCAACAAAUAGAAAACACAAAACCCCCACAGAGCAGAAAAAAAUUUAACAAAAUAAAACCUACGUCUUCAAACCCAAAAACAAAGAAAUACAAUGAACAACAAAAAAGAACGCAGACAAAGCAAAAAGUGAGAAACAGCAGCUAUGUAAAGGGCGCAAAGGAAGCUUCUUCCGAAUCAAAAAAAAAAAAAACCGGAAAGAAACGAAAAAACCGUGAAAAACUAAACACGUGGUAACCACGAAUCCUUCCAAAUACAUUUUAUAUAUAGUAGUCUAAAUAUAAGAAUUAGACCAUUUUCUAUCAAUUAAUGCUUUUAGGAUAAUCAAUCAC